UACGUAGGGUGCAAGCGUUAUCCGGAAUUAUUGGGCGUAAAGAGCUCGUAGGCGGUUUGUCACGUCUGCUGUGAAAACUGGAGGCUCAACCUCCAGCCUGCAGUGGGUACGGGCAGACUAGAGUGCGGUAGGGGAGAUUGGAAUUCCUGGUGUAGCGGUGGAAUGCGCAGAUAUCAGGAGGAACACCGGUGGCGAAGGCGGAUCUCUGGGCCUUACCUGACGCUGAGGCGCGAAAGCUAGGGGAGCGAACAGG
rnacentral:rRNA from 1 species